AAAAUGGAAUGCAUGGCCAUUUUUAAAUAAAAAAAAAAUAAAUAAAUAAAAAAAACAAAAACAAAAAACAAACAAACAAAAAAACAAAAACGGAAGUGCAUCAUAAAAAGAAGACACUGACCCAUACAGGAAGUGUGUCAUCGGAAAUGGACACUUAAAAUGCAGUGAAAAAAACGGAAUGAAAAUCAGAACAGCUGAAACAACAGAUGGAGGUAAUUUACCAAUGGAUGAGAUGUCCAAUAGAAGAGGAAAAGGAGAGUACGCCCAUCACACCACCAAUGGACUUCCAGCACUUAUUGUAUUUAAGGAAUGGGAAGGGAGGGAAGCAAUAGGCUUAUGGAUACACUUGUUAGUAUUUGGAGUGUAUAAACUGUAUGUUUUUAAAAUUUUGGUUCCUGAAGAAGUUUCCUAAGGGGAACGAAACGCGUAGAACCAUAUUUUAAUUUAAUUUUACUAUAUGCCAAUAAAU